AGGUCUUCCUUCUUCCUAAGACUGCUGCAGAAAGCCAGUCCCCAUGAGUCCUGUACAUGAAAAUGGACAAGUCUUCAUACCCAAAAACUCUACAGAGCAACGUCCUGCUUCUAAGGGAGUGGUGCUAAUUGGAACCUGGUGUGGCUGUUCCCUGGGAGGUUCUGCCAGCACCUGACCAAUGCAGAUGUGGAAGCUUGGAGCCAAUCAUCAGACUGACCUAGGGGACCCCAGUGGGGAAGCUGGCUGAAGGACUGGAGGAGCGGAGGGGGAUUGCAACCUUAUAGGAAGAACCAUGUCGACUGUCUGGACCACCCAAUGCUCCCAGGAACUAGACCACCAACCAAUGAGGGUACAGUGGGGAACCAAUGGCUCCAGAUACAUAUGUAGCAGAGGAUGGCCUUGGUUGACAUCAUUGGGAGGGAAGGCCCUUGAUCCCGUGGAGGUUUGAUGCCCCAGCAUAGGGAGAUGAUGAAGUGGUGGGGCAGGAGUGGGGGGGAGCACCCUCAUACAGGCAAAGGGGAGAGGGAAGAGGGUGGAUGGAAUGGGGGGAGGGGGCUGUGG
rnacentral:lncRNA from 1 species